rnacentral:rRNA from 1 species
GUAGGUGGCAAGCGUUGUCCGGAAUUAUUGGGCGUAAAGCGCGCGCAGGCGGUUCUUUAAGUCUGAUGUGAAAGCCCACGGCUCAACCGUGGAGGGUCAUUGGAAACUGGAGAACUUGAGUACAGAAGAGGAAAGCGGAAUUCCACGUGUAGCGGUGAAAUGCGUAGAGAUGUGGAGGAACACCAGUGGCGAAGGCGGCUUUCUGGUCUGUAACUGACGCUGAGGCGCGAAAGCGUGGGGAGCAAACAGGAUUAGAUACCCUGGUAGUCCACGCCGUAAACGAUGUGUGCUAAGUGUUAGGGGGGUUUCCGCCCCCCUUAGUGCUGCAGCUAACGCACUAAGCACUCCGCCUGGGAGUACGGCCGCAAGGCUG